UCUUUGAGAUCUGGACUGUGCCAAGACAUCUACACUGUACAGCCAGCAGAGAUCUGGGAGACUACAGCCAUCUUGACAGUACCCUCACAGGAUACCACGAACUGAAAGCAGGGCAGGUGCUUCCCUACUUCCUCUGUGAGACAUGUCUGAAAAUAUUUUCUUUGUGGAGUUUGUAAUAAUUGAAGACCACUGGUGACAAGACUUGAUCAACCCUGUCGCGGUGUCAUUGGGACAUAAGAGCAGGUGCAUGAUGCUGCCAGGUGAACAGCAGAGUGAAGACCACAUGCUCCAUAUCCCAAAUGGCAGACAACUUCUGAUGGCAAUGGGAUGGGUGAUUCAGUCUCUAAUCUAUCCUCACCACAGCCACAGAGGAUUGGUCUGUUCCCAGCAUGAAUGAGAAAACACUCCCUGAACUGCAAAGAGCUAAAAAUGUAUGCAGAGAAAAGAUCACACAGAAAGAUGCCUCAUACCCAGAGUGAUGGGCCCUGGGAGCUCUGAGAUCACUGUAAGAAUGAGUCCAAGCCAGCCUCCUCAAGGAUGAGAAGCCACAUGGAAGCACAAGUCCACUGUGCUUCAGUAACAGUCUCAUGUGACCAUUUCAGAUGAGGCCUGAUUCGAGGACCUGCAAUAUAUAUAGUUCAACACAGGAAGAGCUGGCUACAAAUAUCUGAAAGGGCAGUCACUGGGAAAAUGAAACACAAAGUGUUCUUCAAAUUUUACGAGGACAAACCUAGGAUCA